UACGAAGGGUGCAAGCGUUACUCGGAAUUACUGGGCGUAAAGCGUGCGUAGGUGGUUUGUUAAGUCUGCUGUGAAAUCCCCGGGCUCAACCUGGGAAUGGCAGUGGAUACUGGCAAGCUAGAGUGCGGUAGAGGGUAGUGGAAUUCCCGGCGUAGCGGUGGAAUGCGUAGAGAUCCGGAAGAACACCGGUGGCGAAGGCGGUCUGCUGGGCAGUAGCUGACACUGAGGCGCGACAGCGUGGGGAGCAAACAGG
rnacentral:rRNA from 1 species